rnacentral:lncRNA from 1 species
AUUUUCAUUCACCAUAAUUUUCCUUUUACAUUUUUGUUUUGACUCAAUUAAUUUUUAAUAUUUGCAUUGUUUUUUUUUCUUUUACACAUUAAUUUUGUUUUCUUUGUUAGAUCCAUAUUAUUUUUAAUACCAACACUUUUACAUUUUUAACCACCACUUUUGUUUUCUUCAUGGAUCAUCAAUCCUUUGUUUUUCAUUUUAUCAUACCCACAUUUUUACUUUUUACAUCAUAAAACACUUUCCAUCCAUGGCCCUCCACAUGACAUUCUUUCUUCUCUCCUUAUUUCAUUUUCACUCAUUAUAGACACAGAACACACUGGAAAAACUUUCACCUUUCUUCUACUCCAAGAGGCACCCAAUAACACCCACUUUUCUCUCUUCCAAAAAAAAUGGAAACUCCCAUACUCAAAGCCCUAACGAUUUUCUUUUCCCUAUUUUCAAGCCACGAGACACAUACACAAUUUCUCACCAACAAAACAACACAACACUCAUUAUUUUCUCUUUCAUCCCUAACAGAUAAGGACAUUCUUGCUUUACCGUCCACUUCGUGCACAAAACACAUAAAGGCAACAACACCACUAUUAUUCCCUUCCUCUUUCUCUAAUAGCUUAUACAUACGGAGUUGAGUUAUGGAGCCAAGUAUACCCUUUCAGUGAUUGUAACCUCACGAAUUUCUUCAAUCUUCCAUGUAUAAAGUAUUCUUCCUUCC